rnacentral:tRNA from 1 species
GACACGGUGGUGCAGUGGGUAGCACUGUCGCCUCACAAGCGGAUCCUGGGUUUGAAUCCUGGCCUGGGCC